rnacentral:lncRNA from 1 species
CACCACUUGGGAGUGGGGGAUAGCGUGCUUUGACGAGAAUAUCCUCAAGACCACGGGGAUGUCUAUUGCCAAACAUGCUGGAGAAUAAAAAGGAAAAUGAUAAAUACAGACACACACACAGUCUAAAACGUAAAAGAUAUAGAAUUAGUUAUUGGCAAAUACUUCUAAAGAUUCCUCGUCAGUUUAAUUUAACUGGUGCCGUACUCAACGCUCAGGCCCUUUCACGCCCCACUAUUUCCUAUCUGCUCUGAGAGAUAUGGGUCCUGGAAAGAGAGAAGAAAUAUGAAAACAGGAGAGAAACGAAAAAAGUUAGAGAAAAAGUGAGAUAUGAAGCAAGUGUAAAUGAGAAGUAGGGAAUGGUAGAGAGGAAAGAGGCAAAAAUAUUAUUUUCCUUACCUUUGCAUAUUAUUUGUGGGCAAGAAAAUUUAUUAAGAUAGUAAUUUAUUUUUUGCUUUUUCUCUGUUAUUUUUCCCCAGGUUCAACUUAUAGCCACGCUCUGGUGCCCUCAAGAAGUUUGUUUAGAGGGCAAAAGUAGAAGGUAUCUAUAAAAAACCUGUGUCUUUGGAUUUUGUUUGCUAGAAGCUUGAGUUCUUUGAGGAGAAGGAGGUGGGAACGUGGACGUUCCUUGAGGCUGGGGUGGGCCUGGAACCCAUCUGCUUCCCAACUGGGAGGGGGAAAGUCCUCAGAGGGCAAGGCCCUCAAGAUAGGCCCCAGAGGUGAGCUGGUGGCCUCUGGUUUCCAGCCUCAGGCAAGAUUUUCUUCUGUUACCUGUGGCAGAAGAGCAGCAGCUGCGGGGGCCUCAUGUGAACUUGGACAAGGGACAUCUCUGCACCACGCUAUUCAGAAAGAAGCCCAGAGGAGUCUUCCAGAUGUGCUGACCCUGGGCUUCUGCACCACUGCAACACCUGUAUGGAAUCCAGGCAAAGGCUGGACCAUCAGAGGGGCUCUGAUGUUGCAUGCUGUGUGUGAAGCAUCUUCUGUUUCACCCUGGCAGUCAUGAUUCUCUUUGAGCCGCAGUUUGUUUUCUGUCUCUGGAAGUUCAUGGCAGAGGUGGGCGGGACUCAGCAGGUUCUAGGUCAGGUUUUUACUGAAAAAGUGUUUUACUUUCUCUUGAAAAAGUCAUGGAGGGCAAACAGGGGUUGAGAUGCAAGAUCACAAAGUAAAUUGUUUCAGUUGCACACAUUGCCCCAAAUGUGUCCUUAAGUCUCAUAGAGGAGGCUUAGUUUGUGGCAGCAGAAGGAAUGACUCAAAAAGGUCAAUGUCCAAAAGAUUUUUUUAUAGAGAUUUACUAAUCUAGAAAAUACAUUAUUCCAACAGCGGGAAUAUUUGAUUGCAAAGAAUAAUUCAUUGAUUAGCCCUACUUAAAAAAGAGAACUUAGUUAUCGAGCAGAGUCAAAUAACAGGUUUUUCUGACUUCUAAGAACUUAUCCCCAAACAAUUAAGAGCAUAUGCAAGGACUUGACCAUAUCAACUUGAUUACUGUAGCUUUAUAUUAUUUUUCACCAGCUGAUAGAACAAAUUUCCAAACAUCAUUCUUUUUUUUUUUUGAGGAAGAUUAGCCCUGAGCCAUCAUCUGCCGCCAAUCCUCCUCUUUUUUGCUGAGGAAGACUGCACCUGAGCUAACAUCUGUGCCCAUCUUCCUCUACUUUACAUGUGGGACGCCUACCACAGCAUGGUUUACCAAGCGGUGCCAUGUCCACACCCGGGAUCUGAACCAGCGAACCCUGGGCCGCCAAAGCAGAAUGUGUGCACUUAACUGCUGAGCCACUGGAACGGCCCCCAAACAUCAUUCUUUUUAAAAAAUGUCAAUUAUUAUGUAUUUAUUCAUUCAGAAAAUCUAUAACUUUGUCAGAUCCCCUCACCUUCAUCCCAAACUAUAUUUUUAUUUGAAUAACGUUAAAUAUACAAAUACAUGUCAGAGAACUAAAUCAGUACAAUUUUUAGUUUUCAUCUAAGAAUAUUGAAUUAUUCUUUAACUUUAAGGAAGGACAUUAUAUCUAGGGAUGUUCAAUUUCAUAUUUGAAGUUUGGGCUCAUUUUUAUGUCUAUCAAGAUAAUGUUUAAUCUUAUUUUAACCAUCCACCUAUUUUAUAUUAGGUGUGUAACCCAAUCUGCUUAGCUUCAACAGUUUUGACGAGGAUGUCUUUACGUGUUCUGCAAAAUAAUUGUUAAAAGUGUUAGCAGGACAGAGCCAUGGAUACAAAGUCAUAUGAUGUAUGAAAUUUAGUGGCAAAGAUUUGGGAUCUAUUUAAGAGGUUCAAGUAAUCUCUAACUCUGUUUAACGUAAAAACUAUAUUUUUAACAAAGAAUUUAAUUAAAAAAUUAUUUAAAAUCAUUCAUGACACAUUUGAAGAUCUUUAUUGUCUCUAUAUAUCAUUUAUAUGCUAAUGAUUUUUAUACCAUUCAUGUAUUAAAGUGUUGAUUAUUGAGGUUAAUGGUUGGCAGAAUGCACAAUAAACAGGUUUUACUUCCUAAAUACA